rnacentral:rRNA from 1 species
CCUACGGGUGGCAGCAGUGAGGAAUAUUGGUCAAUGGGCGCGAGUCUGAACCAGCCAAGUAGCGUGAAGGAUGACUGCCCUACGGGUUGUAAACUUCUUUUAUAAAGGAAUAAAGUGAGGCACGUGUGCCUUUUUGUAUGUACUUUAUGAAUAAGGAUCGGCUAACUCCGUGCCAGCAGCCGCGGUAAUACGGAGGAUCUGAGCGUUAUCCGGAUUUAUUGGGUUUAAAGGGAGCGUAGAUGGGUUGUUAAGUCAGUUGUGAAAGUUUGCGGCUCAACCGUAAAAUUGAAAUUGAUCCUGGCAGUCUGGAUUCAAGUUGGGGUCGGCGGAAUGCGUGGUGGAGCGGGGA